rnacentral:rRNA from 1 species
AGUAACGCGUGAGUAACCUACCUUACACAAGGGGAUAGCCUCUGGAAACGGAGAAUAAUACCCUAUGAAACUAUCUUAUCGCAUGAAAAGAUAGUCAAAGUGUUUUAGCGGUGUAAGAUGGACUUGCGUCUGAUUAGCUAGUUGGUGAGAUAACAGCCCACCAAGGCAACGAUCAGUAGCCGGCUUGAGAGAGUGUACGGCCACAUUGGGACUGAGACACGGCCCAG